UACGUAGGCGGCAAGCGUUGUCCGGAAUUAUUGGGCGUAAAGCGCACGUAGGCGGCCUGUUAAGUCGGAUGUGAAAGCCCCGGGCUCAACCCGGGAAGUGCAUUCGAAACUGGCGGGCUUGAAUAUGGAAGAGGGUCGCGGAAUUCCCGGUGUAGAGGUGAAAUUCGUAGAUAUCGGGAGGAACACCAGUGGCGAAGGCGGCGACCUGGGCCAAUAUUGACGCUGAGGUGCGAAAGCGUGGGGAGCAAACAGG
rnacentral:rRNA from 1 species